GCCGAACGUGGGAUGGUUUAGGGGGGCAAGUUAGGCUUCCGAAAGUUUCAAAGGUUCGGCCGCCGAACCUCAUGUUCGGCCGCCGAACUUGCAUGAUUUUUGGAGGCACUUUAGGCUGCCGAAAGGUGGUCUGCCAGCCCCUAUAUAAGAGCUCCAUGGCCGAAACGAGCGAGUUUUCUCCCCAUUUUCGGCCACGGUGAGUUCUUGCUCUCCCAUGGUUCAUUUUAGAUGUUUUUCCUUCGAUCCUUCAUGUUUUAACAAGCUUUAUGUUGAUUUGAAGAUAUUUGAACAAAAGAGCGAGUUUUGGAAGCUUG
rnacentral:lncRNA from 1 species